rnacentral:lncRNA from 1 species
CCGGGAGCUAAAGAAGACGGGUCUAAACGACUACCAGACUCACAGAACAUCUCUCUGUAAUGGGGAGUAAGUCUGUUCUUUCGAACCGUCUGGAAAAAAAAUUUAAAUUUUAAAAUUAACAUCAACAGUAAUUAACAAAUUCUAUAAAUAACAAAUUCAAUAAAUCUAGCUAAAUUCCCUACAUUAACCACCUAAUCAACACUAAUUAAGAGGCCCGCGUUUUGUUUCCACGUAAUGUCCUCGUUGAUUAACGAGGGAUUAGCGAGGCCCGUGUUUUCCUAUUACGAGGUCUUUA